rnacentral:rRNA from 1 species
GGGUUGUGAGGUUAAGCGACUAAGCGUACACGGUGGAUGCCCUGGCAGUCAGAGGCGAUGAAGGGCGUGCUAAUCUGCGAUAAGCGCCGGUAAGGUGAUAUGAACCGUUAUAACCGGCGAUACCCGAAUGGGGAAACCCAGUGUGACUCGUCACACUAUCAUUAACUGAAUCCAUAGGUUAAUGAGGCGAACCGGGGGAACUGAAACAUCUAAGUACCCCGAGGAAAAGAAAUCAACCGAGAUUCCCCCAGUAGCGGCGAGCGAACGGGGAGGAGCCCAGAGCCUGAAUCAGCAUGUGUGUUAGUGGAAGCGUCUGGAAAGGCGCGCGAUACAGGGUGACAGCCCCGUACACAAAAGCGCAUGUGCUGUGAGCUCGAUGAGUAGGGCGGGACACGUGGUAUCCUGUCUGAAUAUGGGGGGACCAUCCUCCAAGGCUAAAUACUCCUGACUGACCGAUAGUGAACCAGUACC